rnacentral:rRNA from 1 species
UACGUAGGGUGCGAGCGUUAAUCGGAAUUCCUGGGCGUAAAGCGUGCGCAGGCGGUUUUGUAAGUCAGAUGUGAAAUCCCCGGGCUUAACCUGGGAAUGGCAUUUGGGACUGCAAGGCUGGAGUUUGGCAGAGGAGACUGGAAUUCCUGGUGUAGCAGUGAAAUGCGUAGAUAUCAGGAGGAAUACCGAUGGCGAAGGCAGGUCUCUGGGCUAUAACUGACGCUCAUGCACGAAAGCGUGGGGAGCAAACAGG